rnacentral:rRNA from 1 species
GACGAACGCUGGCGGCGUGCUUAACACAUGCAAGUCGAACGGAAAGGCCCUGCUUUUGUGGGGUGCUCGAGUGGCGAACGGGUGAGUAACACGUGAGUAACCUGCCCUUGACUUUGGGAUAACUUCAGGAAACUGGGUCUAAUACCGGAUAGGAGCUCCUGCUGCAUGGUGGGGGUUGGAAAGUUUCGGCGGUUGGGGAUGGACUCGCGGCUUAUCAGCUUGUUGGUGGGGUAGUGGCUUACCAAGGCUUUGAAGGGUAGCCGGCCUGAGAGGGUGACGGGCCACAUUGGGACUGAGAUACGGACCAGACUCCUACGCGAGGCAGCAGUGGGGAAUAUUGCACAAUGGGCGGAAGCCUGAUGCAGAACCGCCGAGUGCGGGAUGACGGCCUUCGGGUUGUAAACCGCUUUCGCCUGUGCCGAAGCGUGUGUGACGGUAAUGGGUAAAGAAGCACCGGCUAACUACGUG